rnacentral:rRNA from 1 species
GACGAACGCUGGCGGCGUGCUUAACACAUGCAAGUCGAACGGAAAGGCCCGGCUUUGUUGCGCUGGGCGGGUGGCGAAGGGGUGAGUAACACGUGAGUAACCUGCCCUUGACUGUGGGAGAACUUAAUGAAACUGGGUCUAAUACCGGAUAGGAUCUCUUGCUGCAUGGUGGGGGUUGGAUAGUUUCGGCGGUUGGUGAUGGACUCGCCGCUUAUCAGCUUGUUGGUGGGGUAGUGGCUUACCAAGGCCUUGACGGGUAGCCGGCCUGGGAGGGUGAGCGGCCACACUGCGACUGAGAUAAGGCACAGACCCGUACGGGAGGCAGCGGUGGGGAAUAUUAUACAGUGCGAGGGAGCAUGAUGCAGCCCAGCAACGUGCGGGAAGACAGGCUUGGGGUUGUGAACCGCUUUCGCCUGAGACGAAGCGUGAGUGACGGUACCGGGUAAAGAAGCACCGGCUAACUACGUG